GUAGAAUUAUAGUCACAUUUCUUUUACCUUUUUAUCUGUAUUUUCUAUUUUUCUGUAAUACACAGGAACUUCUUGUGUAAAUAAAUAAUGAAAUAAAACAGCAAAGUGGAAAGAGAUGAGAAUAAAGAAAUCACUGGAACAAUUAGGAGGAGACCCUUGAGAAACUCACCAGAAAAAGGCCGACCAAGGUGGCAAAAGUGCAGAAUGCCCAGAUUAGAGAUCUACAAAGCCACAGGGCUUUGCAAACAGGAGGAAUAGACAUUUCUGGCCAACAAAUUAUUAACAACUGCCUCCUUACAAGGAGUGGGGAGGAAACCUCUUUAGCAACACACUACUGAUAAAGAAACUUGAGGUUUCCAUAUAUGGAGACUAAAAUGAUGUACAAAGAGUUCUAAGGGUCCUGAAAUAAGGAACCAUCAUCCCAGCAUGGAACAGUGAAGUAGAAGGGGAACAGCAAGAUGAAGACUCCAGACAAGGCCCAAGCACACACAGCUGCUCCAGCCACACCCGCUGGUCUCAGUUGACUGGUUUGGAGGUGGACAUCUCACUCAAGCUCGGCCAAUGGGUGUCCCUCCUCUGGGGCUUUUGAACAUGGGAUUUUAGAGAGCUUGAGGAUGUCACUGGAGGCUGAUGUAACUCUUGGAGCUAUUGGAAACUAUUAGGAGAAUGCCAAUUAGCAGCAAGGAAGAGGUGAGCUCACAUGCAGAGAGAAACAGCUGCAGAGACUUGAUGACAUUAUUGGUUCUGGAUCCCAUCACGGCUGAAGGUUGCUUAUCAUUCUGCCCUUCACCUGGCUUAGUCUGGGAAGUGAUUUCUUAAUUUUCUCCAAGGCAAUACAUGUCCCUCUCCAUUUUAGCUGGCCUAAGAUAAUUUUUGUCAAUUGGAACCAAAUAGCUCUCAUUAAUACUGAUCACUGUACACUUUCCUGUCGAAAAUUUGAAAAUGGUUCUUCAUUCCCCUAGGAAUACAAAGCAAAAAUAAAAAUCUCUACCAUAGCCUACAAGGCCAGCGUGGGCUGGCUCCUUUCUGGCUCCUAGACCUCAAGUUGUAUCCUUGGACAUCACCUAUUAACAGGCCCUUGUCCAUGGGGCUCCCUCCAUGUGGAAUGCCCUCCCUUCGACCCUACUCAGUCUUCAGAUUACAGACCGACCACAGCUUCUCUGGGAAGCAUUUUCUGACCUCCGUGGCAGACCAAACUCCCAUGGAAUAGUCCCUUGGAGUACCAAGUCACCAUCUCCCCAGCACUUGCCACAAUUGUAAUUGUACUUUCAUUUGUGAUUAUGUGAUGGUUAUUUGUCUCACCUGCUGUCAGAUCAGUGGCAGCAUUAGAUUCUCCUAGGAAAAACCAACUCAGGGAUCCCAUUGAUUCUACAUUAUGGUGAGUAUGAAUAAUAAUAGGAAUAAAGUACACAAUAAAUGUUAUGUGCUGGAAUCAUCCUGAAACCAUUUCCCCACCCACCGUCCAUGGAAAAAUCAUCUUCCAUAAAACCGGCCAAAAAGGUUUGGGGACCACUGCUCUACACCAUCUCCAGCACCCAACUCAGUACCGUAGUGGCUGUCAGAUGGGUUUGCAACUUCAUGGACACUCCUCCUCUCAAAUUCUCCUUAAGUGGGCCCAGCUUGGUGACUCAUUUCUAAUGAAUGAAAUGCAGUGAAAGUGAUGUGAUGUAAUUUCUCAGGCUAAGUCCUAAAAGGAAGCUGCUUCCACUUGGCUGUCCCUCGAGGACUGUUUACUUUGAGAAAGGCUAUCUGUCAUUUUGUGAGGACACUCAAGCAGCAUGUGGAGGGCCCUAUAUAGGGAAGAACUGGGUCCUCCCACCAGUGGCUGUUACCAGCUCACUAGCCAUGCAAGUGAACCACCGUGGACAUAAAUCUUUUAUUCCAGUCCAGCCUCCAGACGACUGCAACCCCAAAUAACAUCAUUACUGCAAUCUUAUGAGGGACCCUGAGCCAGAACCACCCAGUUAAGUUACUCCCAAAUUCCUGAUCCACAAAACUGAGUGAGAUAAUAAAUAUUUAUUAUUUUAAGCCA